GCCGGGCACGGUGGCUCACGCCUGUAAUCCCAGCACUUUGGGAGGCCAAGGCGGGAGGAUCACAAGGCCAGGAGUUCAAGACGAGCCUAGCCAGGAUGGUGAAGCCCCAUCUCUACUAAAAAUACAAAAAAUUAGCCGGGCCUGGUGGCGGGCACCUGUAAUCCCAGCACUUUGGGAGNNNNNNNNNNCCAAAGUGCUGGGAUUACAGGUGCCCGCCACCAGGCCCGGCUAAUUUUUUGUAUUUUUAGUAGAGAUGGGGCUUCACCAUCCUGGCUAGGCUCGUCUUGAUCUCCUGACCUUGUGAUCCGCCCGCCUC
rfam:Chlorocebus sabaeus isolate 1994-021 chromosome 23, whole genome shotgun sequence.